CAAUUUCCUGCUCUUCUGUACUUCACUUCUGGUCAGUCUCAUUGGCUGGCAUUCUUCUUAGUUCUGAGGUAUCUAAUGUCCAGAUCGAUUCUUAUAUAAGAAGUCUAAAUAAUUGUUGCUACUACGGUUAAGAAGACUCUUAUUAUGUAUGGACAGUCCAGGAACGAGAUCUUCACCUAACCCUCAGAAGGUUGGCUCGUUGUUAACAUGCGAAGGAAAAGGCUUCAAUCUCACAUUUCGAUGUCACUGUGGUUGCUUGAAAGGAAAAUUUCACAUACGGAAGAGAUAAUUUUUGCAAGAACCCUUUUUUAGAGUUUGAUCAUAAACCCUAGCCGAGGAGCUUCUUUGGCCACAUGACAUGAAAGAGAGGAACUGCUAGUCUUUAAGCUUGAACAAAAAAUGAUUUUGACUUCUUCUCACUCAACUUCCUUAGAGAACUCGAAAGCGAUAAGAACCCUAAUGUUAUACAUCAACAGCUAGAAAAGCAUUUUUUCAAAAACGAUUUCCUUAAAUCAGCUAUUAAUACGGUUAGCCCCCUCGGGAAGAACCCAGAGAAAAUAGCUAUACAACAAGAGAGAUUGUCCAUACAAAGACUUAAGGUGACUAGCCUUAGCUAACAGCAGAGGUAUUCUCUUUGCACUUGCUCCAGACUAUCUUGCUUGGAUCACCGCUACCUAUCCGAUUCUUAUCCUCAGGAUAUUCUAUCGGCUUAUUCUCCGACAAUAGAUAUUCAGCCUAAUACAUUGCGGAAUUUAACAGUCUUUACGAAAUACAGUAACAAAAUACCGAAUGACAUAAGAAAAAUGUAUAGAUUUGCCGUCUGACACAUACACUUCAAUACAAAUACUGAAAACAACCUCCUAGACUCGGAAACCCACGGGCAACACAGGCUAUAAGAAGUCUUACACUGCUCUAGUCACCAGAAUAUUCUAAUACAAAGAGGGAUUGAAAUAACGUCUAAUAAUUAGGGAUAUAAUGAGAAGGAGACUUUGCGGAUCUGCGGACGUAGCAGAUGUACACCUCAAGUCUCCAAUACACUCCCUAACAGCUACUGGCGGUACGCCUGCUCAGAAGUACCUAGAUCUGCACAUGAAAAACAUGCACAGAAGAGGCAUGAGUACACCAUAACGUUAAUCAGUAAGUGCCAAGCCUAACCUCGGUUGGGUAAUGACGAGGAAAGUCGAGGCCCUACAGAGAUAAACAUAAAAAUAAAUAUGAAAUGAAUAGACAAUAGGAGAACAGUAAAUCUCGAAUAUCUAGCAAAAAUAAUAAGUAAAUCGAAAACAGGCAACAAAAUACAAUCUACGAAUACAAGAACAAUCACUACAGGCUAUUUAUCGUCGGGGAUCUCCUGGUAUCCCGAGGAUCUCCUGGUAUCCUCAUCACAUGCACAAGGGAUCUUCAUGUAUCCCGAGGAUCUCUUAGUAUCCUCCAUUUAAUCACGAGGGAUCCCAAGUAUCCCGAGUAUCUCCUAGUAUCCUCCAUUUAAUCAAUCCUGUGCCGGAGAUCUCUUAGUAUCCCGCAUUUCCAAUCUCGGAACAUAAUACGUACAGGGGAACUCCCGGGAUGCCGUCCCGUGGAUCCAAUCGUAAACACAUCACAACAAUUCAAUAUUGAACAAAAAGAAGCUAAGUACAGACAACAGGUAGAAUCUAGAGUCUAGCAUGCUUCACAAAAGGCAUAUAUUCAAUACGUAGUCCCAAUAGUAAACACAUCACAACAAAUUAAUAUUUAACAGAAAGAAGCUAAGUGCAGACAACAAGUAAAAUCUAAAGUCUAGCAUGCUUCACAGAAAGGCAGAUAUUGAAAUUUAGUCAAAUAGAGCAAAUAAGCUACUAACAUGCUUUUCCUAAGCUAAAACAAGUGAAAUUGCAUUUUUAACAGUUAAAAUAAGUCGAGUAGGGUGAAUUUUCAACAGCUAGCACAAGUACACGCUCAUCACCUCGCGCACAAGGCAUUUAAAACAACUGUUAAGAUAUCCUAAGGGAAGAGUCCCCCCCCCACAAAGUUAGAUAAGCCACUUACCUCAAAUCGGUUUAAAAAUCACUAAGAAAUGAUGCCUUUGCCACCAGUAUCCAACUCCGAGUGGCCCAAAUCUAUUCAAAUCAAUUACAUAUUGUAAAUAACAUCGCAAGUAACAAAUUCCACUAAUAAAAUAAAGCUAAGGCGCAAAAAUAGAUAAAAUGACCAAAUGCCCCUCCAUCCAAUGUCUCGGAAUUAAAUAAUUUUUAAAUUUUCAGAAACCUCUUACUCUCACGAGUCUAACCAUAUAAAGAUCUCCAAAAUCGGAGGUCAAAUGCCCUUUCAAAUCAUCACAAUUAGUUCUAAGAACUUUACCCCAAUUUUCAUUCAAAACUCCAAAAUUAUGGUUGAAUUCACGAUUAGAUUAGUGAGUUUUAGUCAUAGAGGAGUAAGGAAUCGUUACCCAAUCAUUGACUCUAAAAAUCCCUCAAAAAAUCUCCCAAAACCGAGCUCUCUAGCUUGAGUUUUGAUAAAAAUGGAAGAACUCUCGUUUUGAAAAGUUUAUAACUUUCCAGGCCCUUUGUUCAAUGCGAUCGCAUGAAAGUGAUUGCGAUCGCGUAGAGUAAAUGAUGAGGGACCGGAAUUAGGCCUAUACGAAAGUAGGCAUAAGUUUGUGAUCGCGGAGAAGGAAAAGGCAGACCUAUGCGAUCACGUGAGGAGCCCUGCGAUCGCAUAGAGGAAAUGAACCCCUGAGCCACCGGCUCGAUUUGUUCAGUGCGAACACGGAAGGAGGUGUGCGAUCGCAUAGAAGGAGGGAGCAGAACUAUACGAUCGCAUUCAAGGACCUACGAUCGCAUUGAAGGAAAAAUAUCCCUCCACAAUUUGCACUAUGCGAUCACACGGGAAUUGAUGCGAUCGCAGAGAAGAAGGUUUGCAACAGUUGUGAGGAAAUUUUUUGCAAUCCUUUAAGUCCCGAAAUUGCUCCGUUGAGCAUCCAAAACACACCCGAGGCCCUCGGUACCUCAACCAAACCUACGGACAUAUCCCAUAACAUCAUUCAAACUUGUACCAAUCCUUAAACCACCUAAAACAACGCCAAAAACUCGAAAUAAUCAAUGAUUUGAGACUAAGAAUUCCAAAUUCCAACCAAACUUGAUUUCGAUAAAAAACCUAACCAAAACACGUCCGAUUGACCUGAAAUUUUGCACGUACGUCCCAAAUGACAUGACGGUGCUACAACAACUUUCGGAAUCGCAUUCCGACCCUCGGAUAAAAAAUCCACUAUCAGACAGGAAACUUCAAAAAUCUAAGUUUCAUCAUUUCUAGCGUAAAUGAGCUACGGACAUCCAAAAUACAUUCAGAGCAUGCUCCCAACCCCGCAAUCACCUAACAGAGCUAAUAGAACCAUCAGAUUUCCAUUUCGAUAUCGUCUUCACAUUGUUCUGAUUACGAACCAUUUUCAAACACUUAAGCUCUAGGGACUAAGUAUCCCAAAACACUCUCAAUUCUCACACCGAAUGUCCCGAAAACCAAAAUAGCAAAAAUGAACAUAGGGGAAGCAAUUAAUGGGGGAACGGGGCAUAAAUUCCAAAGACGACCAGCCGGAUCGUUAAAUCCUCCUACACUUAAACAUUAGUUUUGACCUCGAACGAGCAUAAAGAACAUACCUGAAGUAGUAAAAAGAUGAGGGUAUCGGCUGCGUAUAUCCUGCUCGGCCUCCCAAGUCGCUUCUUUGGCCGGCUGACCCCGCCACUGGACAUUUACUGAAGCUAUAUCCUUUGACUUGAGCUUUCAGACCUGCCUGUCUAAUAUUGCCACUGGCUCCUCAACAUAGGACAAGUCAUUGUCCAACUGGACUGAAGUGUACUCCAACACGUGAGACGGGUCACCCUGAUACCUCCGAAGCAUCGAGACAUGAAAUACCGGAUGAACCCCGGCCAAACUGGGAGGUAAAUCAAGCUCAUAAGCAACCUCCCCAACACACUUCAAAAUAUCAAAUGGGCCAAUGAACCUCGGACUCAACUUCCUUUUUUUCCCAAACCUCAUGACGCCUUUCAUAGGCGAAGCCCGAAGCAACCCGCUUACCAACCAUUAAGGAAAUGUCACAAACCUUCCGGUCCGCGUAACUCUUAUAUCUGGACUGGGCCGCACAGAGUCUAUCCUAAAUCAUCUUAACCUUCUCGAUCACAUCCUAGACCAAAUCAGUGCCCAAUAGCGUGGCCUCACCCGGCUUGAACCAACCCACUGGGGAUGUGCAUCUCCUACCAUAUAAGGCCUCAUUCGCCGCCAUUUGAAUACUGAACUGAUAAGUGUUGUUGUACGCAAACUCAGCCAAUGGCAAGAACGGAUCCCAAGACCCUCUAAACUCAAUCACGCACACAUGGAGCAUAUCCUCAAGAAUCUGAAUAGUGCGCUCGGGCUGUCCGUCCGUCUGAGGGUGAAAAACUAUGCUCAUAGUCACUCGGGUACCCAACUCGUGCUGGACGGCUCUCCAAAAACCGUGAUGUAAAUACCGAACCCCUGUCUGAGAUGAUCUAAACUUGAAUGCCAUGCAGACAAACAAUCUCCCCGAUAUAAAUCCCUGCUAACCGCUCCACUGAAUAAGAAAUACACACUGGCAAUGAGCGUACUUGGUCAGCCAAUCCACAACAACCCAAAUGGAAUCAAUUUUCUUCGCCAUCAGAGGGAGACCUGUCACAAAAUCCAUAGUGAUCUUCUCCCAUUUCCACUCCAGAAUCUCCAUAUGCUGGAGUAAGCCUCCCGGUCUCUGGUGCUCAGCCUUUAUCUGCUGGCAGUUGAGGCAUCUAGCUACAAACUCUGCUAUGUCCUUCUUUAUCCGCCUCUACCAGUAAUGCUGCCUUAGAUCCUGGUACAUCUUCACGACACCCGGAUGGAUGGAGUACCACGAGCUAUGGGCCUCGGUCAAUAUCAAGUCCCGGAUAUCAUCAACAUUGGGUACACAGAUCUGAUCCUGCAUCCUCAAUACCCCAUCAUCUCCAAUAGUCACAUCCCUAGCAUCACCAUGCUGAACUAUGUCCCUGAGGAAAAGCAAAUGAGGAUCAUCAUACUGCUGCUCCCUGAUACGAUCAAACAAUGAAGACCGAGAAACCACACAGGUUAGAACUCGACUGGGCUUCGAAUGGUCCAAUCUCAUGAACUGACUGGCUAAAUCCUGAACAUGCAUCGCCAUAGGUCUCUCUGAAGCUGGUAAAUAUGCCAAACUUCCCAAACUCUCCACCCGGUGACUCAAGGCAUCGACUACCACAUUGGCCUUGCCUGAGUGAUAAAGAAUAGUGAUAUCAUAAUCCUUCAGUAGCUCCAACCAUCUCCUCUGGCGCAAGUUCAGAUCUUUUUCCUUGAAAAAGUGCUGCAAACUCCGAUGAUCCAUAUAAAUCUCACAAGGCACGCCAUACAAAUAAUAACGCCAAAUCUUCAAGGCAUGAACAAAAGCAGCUAACUCAAGGUCAUGGACAGGAUAGUUCUUUUCAUGUAUUCAACUGUCUGGAUGCGUAGGCAAUCACCCUACCGUCCUGCAUCAACACCGUUCCAAUUCCAACUCGUGAGGCAUCACAAUAAACCAUAUAGGACCCCAAACCAGUAGGAAAUAAUCAGAAUAAGGGAUGAAGUUAAUGCCACCUUGAGCUUUUGGAAGCUCACCUCACACUCGUUUGACCAAUGAAAGAGAGCACCCUUUUGAGUCAAUCUAGUCAUAUGGGCUGUAAUCGAUGAGAACCCCUCCACAAAACGAUGGUAAUACCCCACCAGGCUAAGGAAACUACGAAUCUCUGUAGCUGAGGAGGGCCUGGGCCAACUCUGCAUGGCCUCCACCUUCUUCGGAUCCAUCUGAAUGCCGUCACCCGAUACCACGUGGCCUAGGAAUGCCACAGAACUCAACCAAAACCCACAUUUUGAGAACUUUGCAUAUAAUUUCUUUUCCCUCAGGCCUGAAGCACUGUCCACAGGUGCUGCUCAUGAUCUUCCCAACUCCGAGAUUAUACAAGAAUAUCAUCUAUGAAAACAAUGACAAACGAUUUGAGAUAGGGCCUGAAUACACUACGCAUCAAGUGCAUAAAAGCUGCUGGGGCGUUGGUCAGCCCAAAUGACAUGACAAGGAACUCGUAAUGACCAUACUGAGUCCCGAGAGCAGUCUUCAGGAUAUCCGGCUCCCGAAUCUUUAGCUGGUGAUAACAUGAGCACAAAUCAAUCUUAGAAAACACAUGUGCGCCCUGAAGCUGGUCAAAUAGAUCAUCGAUNNNNNNNNNNNNNNNNNNNNNNNNNNNNNNNNNNNUCUACCCGAAUUCCCUCACUCGAUACCACGUGGCCUAGAAAUGCCACAGAACUCAACCAAAACUCACAUUUUGAAAACUUUGCAUAUAAUUUCUUCUCUGUCAGGGUCUGAAGCACUAUCCUCAGAUGCUGCUCAUGAUCCUCCCGGCUCCGGGAGUGUACGAGAAUAUCAUCUAUGAAAACAAUAACAAAUGAGUCGAGAUAGGGCUUGAAUACACUGUACAUCAAAUGCAUAAAAGCUGCUGGGGCGUUGGUUAGCCCAAAUGACAUGACAAGGAACUCGUAAUGAACAUUCCGAGUCAUGAAAGCAGUAUUCGGGAUAUCCGGCUCCCGAAUCUUUGGCUGGUGAUAACCUGAGCAAAAACAUAUCUUAGAAAAUACCUGUGCGCCUUGAAGUGGGACAAAUAGAUCAUCAAUACGAGGCAAAGGAUACUAGUUCUUCACUGUAAUUUUGUUCAACUGACGAUAAUCGAUACACAUGCGCAUAGAACCAUUCUUUUUUUAUUUACGAACAAGACAGGAGAACCCCACAGUGAAACAGUGGGUGGAAUAAAAUCCGUAUCAAGAAAUUCCUGUAAUUUAUCCUUUAACUCCUUCAACUUUGGGGGAGCCAUAUGGUAAGGAGGAAUGGAUAUGGGCUGAGUGCCCGACAAGAAAUCAAUACCGAAAUCAAUGUCCUGAUUAGGUGGAAUGCCCGGAAGAUCAGCUGGGAACACAUCUGGGAAAUCUUGAACCACUAGAACAGAGUCUAUUGAAGGGGUAUCAGCACUAACGUCUCUCACAUAAGCUAAAUACGCGGUGCACCCCUUCUCAACCGUACGUUGAGCCUUAAGAAAAGAUAUAACUCUACUAGGCGUGUAAUAAAAAGUACCACUCCACUUAAUACACGGAAUACCUGGCAUAACCAGCUUCACGGUCUUAGCGUGACAAUCAAGAAUAGCAUACUGCGGCGACAACCAGUCCAUGCCCAAGAUAAUAUCGAAAUCAAUCAUAUCAACUAAUAAAAGAUCUGCCAUGGUCUCAAAACCACAAAUAGUAACCAAACAUGACCGAUAUACGCGGUCCACAACAAGGGAAUCUCCUACGGGAGUAGCAACAUAAACUGGGAGAGCUCAAGGACUCUCGGGCUAAACCCAAAUAUGGAGCAAAAUAAGAUGACACAUAAGAAUAAGUAGAGCCUGGAUCGAAUAGAACCGAUGCCUCUCUGUGACUAACCAAUAUAAUACAUGUGAUAACAGAAUAGGAGGCGACAACCUCGACACGAUCAGGAAUAACAUAAAAUAUGGCCCGACCCCUCCCUCGAGGGGGACCUCUGUCUCUCCGAUCUCCGCCCCUAGCUGGCUAGGAAGGUGGGGUGGCGGCUGGAGUUGGAACAAUGGUUUGAGAAUCCCGCUGGGUACGCUGCUGUUGAGAAUGUUGUGGAGGUGCACUCCUCCCAAGCAUAGGGCAAUCCCUCACCAUAUGGCAGUUAUCCCCACACUCAUAACAAGCUCUGGGAGGGCGCGGUAGCUGUGAGUGACUGGGCCCACCCCUGCUAGACUGACCUCUAGAAGUACCCCGCACAGAAGGCACACUAGAAACCGGAGGUGCAUAAUAAGGCUCCUGGGAUCUGGGAGGAGUUGGAGUACUGCUGGAUGAAGGAAGAGUUGAGUGAACUGGGCGACCCGUAUAGCCCCUACCAUGACGUCCUGCUGCUAAUGUGCGGGUACGAGAGUAAUGACCCGACUCUCGAGACCUCUUGUCCUCUCUCUCCUCUUGCUCUCUGGCAUGGAUACCCUCUAUCCUCCUGGCUAUGCUCGCUACCUGCUGAUACGGUAUAUCCAUCUCCAACUUUAGCGCCAUUCCAAACCUUCUGGAAGGAAUAAGACCCUCGAUAAAUCAGCAAACCCUCUUACAAACAGUAGCCACCAAAGCCGGCGCAUGCCUGGCCAACCUAGUAUAACGGAUGGCAGACUCAGAGAUAGUCAUAGGGCCUUCGUACAAAUGCUCAAACUCCACGCACCAUGCAUCUCGCAGGCUAUGGGGAACAAACUCCCUCUGAAACAUAUCUAAAAACUGAGUCUAAGUCAAGGAGGCAGCCUCGUCCGGACUGUCCAACUCAAAGGUGCGCCACCAGUCAUAGGCGGCUCCCCAAAGCUGGAAAGCUGCGAAAGAAACCCCGCUCAAGGUAGUAAUAUCCAUGGUGCAAAAGAUGCGGUGACAAUCCUCCAAAAACCCCAAAGCAUCAUUUGUAGCUAGUACGCUGAAAACAGGAGGGUCAUACUUCUUGAACCUCUUUAAUCUACGCUGCUCAUCCUCAAAAGCAGGUGCCCCAUCCUCUGACUGAAUCGGUACUGCAGGCCGGACAGGGAUAAUAUCUGGUAUCUGUCCCAUAUGCACCCUCUGCUCUAGAGUGCAGGCUGCGGGAGUCUGAGCUCCUCCCCUGGCCUGAGACGUGGCUGCAGGAAGGGGAAUGAACCCUGCUUGUGACAGCGUAGUAUACAUGCUCAUAAACUGUGCCAAUGCCUCCUGAACAGCUGGAGUAGUGGUGGCUGUGAGCGUGUCAGGUUCCUGAGUCCUGGCUGGAUCCACUGGUAGUACCUCGGCGGCUGCUUGCACACGUGCUCUGGCUAUACCCCGCGCACGUCCACGACCCCUACCCCGGCCCCUACCUCUAGCGGCUGCAGGAGGGGGAGCGGGUGCCUGAUCAUCCUGGGUCGUAUGUGUCCUCACCAUCUAUGAGAGAAUAGAAGACACAAGUUUAGAAUCGAUGUAAAAAUAUAACACGACAAGGAAUCCAAUGGAGUGAAGAUUUUUCCUAAACAGUUACAUAGCCUCCCGUAGAUAAGUACAGACAUCUCCGUACCGAUCAACGAGACUCUAAAUAAGCGGCAUCUGUCUUGUGACUCCAAUGAACCUAGAGCUCUGAUACCAACUUCUCACGACCCUAGUUCACCACUCGUGAACCUGUCAUUACGGCACCCAGUCUUCGCGACUGGCCUGUGUCCCGUGACUCCUAUGAACCUAGAGCUCUGUUACCAACUUGUCACGACCCUAGUUCACCAAUUGUGAACCUGUCAUAACGACAACCAGUCUUCGCGACUAGGUAAGCCUAACACAUUGCGGAAUUUAACAGUCUAUAAAAAAAACAGUAACAAAAUACCGAAUGACAUAAGAAAAAUGUAUAGAUUUGCCGCCUGAAUAUACACUUCAACACAAAUACUAAAAAUAACCUCCAAGAUCCGAAAACCCACGGGCAACACAGGCUAUAUGAAGUUAUACACUGCUCUAGUCCAGAAUAGUCUAACACAAAGAGGGAUCGAAAUAACAUCUAAUAACUAGGGAUAGAAUGAGAAGGAGACUUUAUGGAUCUGCGGAAGUAGCAGAUGUAUACCUCAAGUUUCCAAUACGCUCCCUGACAGCUACUGGCGGUACGCCUGCUCAGAAGUACUUGGAUAUGCACGUGAAAAACAUGCGACGAGGAAGGUCGAGGCCUUAUUGAUAUAAACAUAAAAAUUGAUAUGAAAGGAAUACACAGUAGGAUAACAGUAAAUCUCGAGUGUCUAGCAAAAAUAAUAAGUAAAACGGAAACACGCUAUAAAUACAAUCUACGAAUACAAGAACAAUCACUACGUGCUAUUUAUCAUCGGGGAUCUCCUGGUAUCCCGAGGAUCUCCUGGUAUCCUCAUCAUAUACACAAGGGAUCUCCAAGAAUCCCGAGGGUCUCUUAGUAUCCUCCAUUUAAUCACGAGGAAUCCCAAGUAUCCCGAGGAUCUCCUAGUAUCCUUCAUUUAAUCAAUCCUGUGCCGGAGAUAUCCUAGUAUCCCACACUUCCAAUCUCGGAAAAUAAUGCGUACAAGGGAACUCCCGGGAUGCCGUCCCAUGGAUCCAAUCGUAAACACAUCAAAACAAUUCAAUAUUGAACAAAAAGAAGCUAAGUAUAGAUAAUAGGUAGAAUCUAGAGUCUACCAUGCUUCACGAAAGGCAGACAUUGCAAUUUAGUCAAAUAAAGCAAAUAAAUUACUAACAUGCUUUCCCUAAGCUAAAAUAAGUGAAAGUGCAUUUUUAAUAGUUAAAAUACGUGAAGAAGCACGGUCUAAAUAGGUCAAGUAAGGUGAAUUUUUAACACUUAGCACAAGUACAUGCUCGUCACCUUGCGCACAGGGCAUUUAAUACAACAAUCAAGAUAUCCUAAGGGGAGAGGUCCCCCAUACAAACUUAGACAAGCCACUUACCUCGAGCCGGUACAAAAAUCACUAUGAAACGGUGCCCUUGCCACGAGUAUCCGACUCCGAGUGUCCCAAAUUUAUUCAAAUAAAUUACAUAUUGUAAAUAAUAUCGCAAGUAACAAAUUUCACUCUUAAAAUUAAAGCUAUGGCGCGAAAAUAGGUAAAAUGACAAAAAUUCCCCUCACGCCAACGUCUCGAAAUAGGAAUAAUUUUCAAAAACCUCGUACUCUUACGAGUCUAACCAUAUAAAAGUCUCCCAAAUCGGAGGUCAAAUUCCCCUUCAAAUCCUCACAAUUAGGUCUAAGAACUUUACCCCCAUUUUCAUUUAAAAAUUGGAAUUAAAGGUUGAAUUCACGAUUAGAUUUGUGAGUUUUAGUCAUAGAGGGGUAAAUAAUCGUUACCCAAUCGUUGCUUCUGAAAAGCCUUCGAAAUAUCUCCCAAAUUCGAGCUCUCUAGCUUGAGUUUUGACAAAAAUGGAAGAACCCUCAUUUUGAAAAGUUUAUUACUGCCAAGGCCCUUUGUUCAAUGCGAUCGCAUGAAAGUGAUUGCGAUCGUGUAGAGUAAAUGAUGAGGGCCCGAAAUUAGUCCUAUGCGAACUCAUGCAUAAGGUUGAGAUCACGGAGAAGGAAAAGGCAGACCUAUACGAUCGCCUGAGGAGCCCAGCGAUCGCAUAGAGGAAAUGAAGCUCUGAGCCACCGGCUCGAUUUGUUCAAUGCGAACGCGGAAGGAGGUGUGCGAUCGCAUAGAAGGAGGGAGUAGAACUAUGAGAUCACAUUUAAGGACCUGCGAUCGCAUUGAAAGAAAAAGGGCCCUUCAUAAUUUUCACUAGCAUGGGAAUUGAUGCGAUCGCAGAGAAGAAGGUUCUGCAACAGCUGUGUGAAAAUUUUCUUUAAUCCUUUAAGUCCCGAAAUUGCUCCGUUGAGCAUCUGAAACACACCUGAGGCCCUCGGGGCCUCAACCAAACCUACAAACAUAUCCCAUGACAUCAUUAAAACUUGUACCAAUCCUUAAUGCACCUAAAACAACGUCGAAAACUCGAAUUAAUCAAUGAUUUGAGUGUAAGAACUCGAAAUUCCAACCAAACUCACUUUCGAUAAAAAACCUAACCAAAAUACGUCCGAUUGACCUAAAAUUUUGCACGCACGUCCCAAAUUACAUGGCGGUACUACAGAAACUUCCAAAAUUCCGUUCCGACCUUCGGAUAAAAAAUUCACUAUCGGAUUUUAAACUUCAAAAAUCUAACUUUCGGCAUUUCUAGCCUAAAUGAGCUACGGACAUCCAAAAUACAUUCUAAGCACGCUCCCAACCACGAAAUCACCUAACGGAACCAUCAGAUUUUCAUUCCUAUAUCGUCUUCACAUUAUUCUAAUUACGGACCAUUUUCCAACACUUAAGCUCUCAUUUAGGGACUGAGUAUCCCAAAAGCACUCUGAAUUCGCACACCGAACGUCCUGGCAAACUAAAACAGUAGAAAUAAACUUAGGAAAAGUACUUAAUGGGGGAACGAGGCAUAAAUUCCAAAGACGACCGGUCGGGUCGUCACAGUUAUUUAUAUAUAAUCCAUAUAUAAUAUUUGUAUAAUCGUGUAUUGUCGGUAUAUCAUCUAUUUAUGUUAGCUAUAAAAAGUAACAAUAAAUAUUGCCGGAUAUUAGUAAAUAUUCCAUAAGAUUUCGAUUUUUAGAGUUUAUCCAUGAUAUAACUUCUAUUAUAAUAAUUUUAAAACUCUCUACUAAUGUUCAAAUAUAUCUUAUCUUUUUAUUAUCUUUGAAAUAAAAAAAGUAAGUGAUUUCUCAAAUAAUUUGUUUACAUUUUAAAAAAAAAUUUCACGUCAUACCAAUUUUUUUUAUAUAUACUCUUUGUUAUACUUAAAAGUCUCUAUAGAAACUAUCAAUUAGAAAUCAAUUUAUCUCUUGUUGAGUUUCAAAGAAAUCUUUAAGACAAUUUAAUAAUUCAAAACUAAUAUUCUUCAGCGAAAAAAUAUUGUACCCUUGCAAUAUUUGCUUGACUACAACUAAAUGAAGGGGUUUUAGCUUAUAUCCUUCAAUUCAUUGAAUGUGCUAAAGUAAAAUUAAUGAUAGCAAUUGUAUAGCCAAAGUUUUAUUAUUUGUUUGAUGUCCAUUUAUGCAAAUUGACUCUUCAAACAAAUGUUCUUCAAGAAAAUAAAAAGAAAUAAACUUUUUUUAAUAUUGACUGAUUUUUUAUGUUUCUUUCUCCACCAUAUAUGUUUACUUUAUUAUAUAUGUAAGUAAACUUUUAUUUGGAUUGUAAACUCUUUUUUGUAAGUUAGAUAAAUAUAAUAUACCCUAUGUAUUACAUUUAUUUUAAAAGAAUUUUAUUUUAUUGAAAUCUAGCUACAAUGUUUUAAAGAACUAUUCUUAUAGGAUUUUAAAUGUGAAAGAGUUUUAUAGUUAUAUGGAGUAGUUUUUUUUGCUAGAGGCGAAGUAGUAUUUAAAUAAUUAUAAAAAAUAAUAAACGUUUCUAACAUGAUUGCAUAUGAUCAUUAACCAAAUUAAGUAUGAUAACAUGAUAAAAAAGAUAAAUUUUAUAUUUAAUUCAAAAUCGAAUUUUAGAACUUUUUCUAUAAAUUUAAAAUUAUCUUUUAAUAUUGACUGAUUCUGUAAUGUUUCUUUCUCAAGCAUGUAUAUUUACUUUAUUAUAUAUGUAAGGAAACUACUUUUAUUGGGAUUGUAAACUCUAUAAAUUCAAAAUUCUUAUAUAUANNNNNNNNNNNNNNNNNNNNNNNNNNNNNNNNNNNNNNNNNNNNNNNNNNNNNNNNNNNNNNNNNNNNNNNNNNNNNNNNNNNNNNNNNNNNNNNNNNNNNNNNNNNNNNNNNNNNNNNNNNNNNNNNNNNNNNNNNNNNNNNNNNNNNNNNNNNNNNNNNNNNNNNNNNNNNNNNNNNNNNNNNNNNNNNNNNNNNNNNNNNNNNNNNNNNNNNNNNNNNNNNNNNNNUAUAUAUAUAUAUUUGUGAUAUAUAUGCUUGUCCUUCUUAAAGACCAUUUUACUUAUGAAUGGAUUAUAAUUUGAAGAAAAAAAAGGGUUAACAUUUUCAGCUCUUGUAAUGAUUUUCAAACGAGACAAUUUAAAUAUUUGUUACUCAAUUCUAAUGGCUAAAAGAUCACAAUUCAAAAAUUAGCCCAUAUGUUCAAAUUUUCCAUGUGGCAUUUACACGUAAAUAUUACACGGGACGCCCUAUUUGGUCGCCCCUAUUUAUCCUAUACUCAUUUAUUUUUAAAACUUUUAACUUGUACCCAUUUCUUAAAUAAAUUCAUCCCCUUUCUCCUGCUUCGUUUUCUUCUUCUUCUUUUGAUGAAAUAAAUAGCUAAAAUAUGCAAACAAGCAAUUGAAGGAGUUUUCAAGCAAGAGGACGACCAUCCCGUAUGCCAUAUUUGUUUUUUUUUGCCUUUUUAAAUGUUAAUUCUUCUCUUGUUUUCCUAUAAAUGUGAAGUUUUUCUGCUUCGGCGUUAUCUUCUCUAUUGAACUGGAUGAAACUGUAAUCCAUUAGUAAUGACUAAUACAUGAAUCGGUAUGCAAGGAUUAUGUAAUGAUCCGACCGGUGGUUUUGAAUUGAUAGGUUUCGGUAUAAGUUUCAUCAUUUGAAGAUUUUAAAGUUCUUACGCUUGAUUUUUGGUCUGAUUCAUCAUUUCAAUGUUGUGUAAUGUGAUUUGGAACUUCGAGCGAGUCCGUAUUAGGUUAUAUGACUUGUGUGUGAAACGAUGGGGUCCCGGGGACCUCGGGUGUGUUUUGGAUGGGCCACAUGUCUUUUUCUUUCACUUUUGAACUGCUGUUGCUGCUUCAGGUACUCCUUCUAUGCGUUCGCGAUCAGGACUUCGCGAUCGUGAAGGAUUAUCUUAGCCCUUCUACGCGUUCGCAUAGUGCAUCCCGUUUUCGGGAUGCCCAGUGCACUUCUACUUCGUGUUCGCAUAGGCAACCCCGUGUUCACAUAGAGCAAGUUCUGGAACCUCAUAUUUCCUUCAACGCGUUCGUAUUCGUGCGUCCGUGAUCGCGAAGCUCUGCUGGUCCCUUCUCUGGAUUCGUGUUCCCUUCAUCACGUUCAUGAUGCACAUUUUUGGGCCAAUCCAUUUUUCCUCUACGCAAUCGCGACCCUUGCUCCGCGAUUGUAUUGAACAAUUAACUCGGUAUUCAUAAUUUAAUCCCAAAUUCGAAGGGUUUCACUAUAUUAUCAUAUUUUGACUUCUAGAGAUCAGUACUUGGUGAUUUUUGAAGGGAUUUUCACUUGGGAAACUUGGGUAAGUAAUUCUCACUCAGCUUAGACCAAUUUUAUGGAAUCUCCUCUUAAUUUCAUUCUUUAAUUCAGAUUUUGAAUGAAAAAUGGGUAGAACUUUAUUGACCAAAUUAUUGAGUUUUAAGGGUGUGUUUGACCUUCGAUAUGAGAGAUUUUAUAUGGUUAGACUCAUGAGAGUAUAAGGGUUCUGAAAAUGUUAAAUUCAUUCAGUUCUGAGACGUUAUCCUGAGGGGCAUUUUGGUUAUUUUACCUAAUUUCACGCUUUAGCUUUGAAUUAAAUAGUAGAAUCAAUUGUCUGAGAUAUUAUUUACAAUGUGUGAUUUAAUUGAAUAGAUUUGUGCCAUUUGGAGUCGAAUACUCGUGGGUUGUUUGAGAUGUUAUUUACGAUGUGUGAUUGAAUUGAAUAGAUUUGGGCCAUUUGAAGUUAGUACUCGUGGCAAGAACGCGAUUGCUAGAUGAUUUUAGCCGGUUCUAGGUAAGUAUUUUGCCUAACCUUGUGUGGGGUACUUCCCCUUAGGAUUUGACUAUUCUUUAUUAAUUGUAUUCCUUGUACACGAGGUGACGAGUGCAUGCUCGGAUUUAUUUGUGAAAAAUUAUCCUUUUAGAUUCUUAGACCCUUGAAAUCACCAAAUAUGAGGUUGUUCUUAAUACGAUUGAGUUCCCUGUUGUUAGUUUCACCUCUACAUGUCUUACUUGGAAUCUAUUGCGCUUUUGGUGUAUCUUGGUUCUAAAUUGAUUUUUACCUAUUUAACUGUGGACAUUUACCCUUCUAUAGUCACAUUAUCAUUUCUAACCGCUUGUAUUUAUUUGGAAACCAUUAUUUCUGUCUCUCGUGCAAUUAGUUGGUCUUAAUUGGAAAGAAGUUAGAUAUCCUGUGUUUACGUAACAUUUUCCUCAAUUGUAAUUAUUCGUUUCAUGUUAAUUCCUUAUUGUUGAACUGAGUACUAUGGAAUCGUUGGUUCGUAUUAUUUCUUCCUUGUUGAGUUAUUCUUAUUGCACUUAGUAUUUCUUUGUUACGGUUAUUCUUUGUAAGUUAGUUGUACCGUAUUUUGGUGAACAGAAAUACCUAAGUUGAUUCCCUUGAUUUGUUCCUGUAUAUAUUGUCAUUUAUUGUGAUGUACUUAAGACUGUGAUGCACGAGGUUUCUUCCAUGCGAUUAUCGAUACUGUGAUGCACGAGGUUUCUGCUGUGCGGUUAUUGGUACUAUGAUGCACGAGGUCUCUGCCAUGCAGUUGUUGUUAAGGGGUUGCACAAGGUCUUUGCCGUGCUAUUGUUGUUAUUGAUGUUUUGCACAUGUGACAUAAAAAGGAGGGAUAUUUCAUAUGCUUAUUUGUGGGUUUCGCAUGUGGCAGAAUAAGGUGGGAACAUUGUGAUGCACGUGUGGUGAAAUAAGGCGGUACUUAUUAAUUUAUCAUUGUACACAAGGCGGAAUAAGGUGGGUUGUGUCAGGGGUUGAUUGUAAUGAAUAGUGACGACUUGUGGAGGUAUUCCUUUUUCGUUAUUACUGUGAUUGUGGGUUGCUUACCUGUAUGAGCUUUAUCGCUCAGGAGUUUUGAGAAAACAUAUAUCUUGCGGUCCAUUCUCCCAUUCAUGUUACAAGUUGCUAGAAUUCUUGUUAGAACAUUUGCACAAGCAUACGCGUAGUUAAAUACUCCCGUCGAGGUAAAUUGCUCCUGUUUUGCUAAGGAGGGAGGUACGCACUCGUGUAUCCAUUAUAUGUGAGAGUGUCCAUAGUUAGCCGGUAAGUGGUCAACAUGACUGAGAAACUGAUGCGGCAUAGGAUGCCAAGGGUUAGAUUUCAGAUGUUGGGUUUUGUGAGUUAUGGUUUGUCCGAGACUUGGUGAAGUUGUGGAAAGAGUGAAUAAGACCUUAUGUGAACACCAUUAUAGGAUAUGCGUUAUGGACUUGUUUUUGCCUUGCGAUGUUGUGACCUUAGGAUUUGGAUUGUGUUUGUCGUCGUUAUACAUCGUCAUUUAUUAUUUUCUCAUUGUUACUUGUUGUUCUUUUCCCUUAUUGUGAAUUGUGGCAUUAUUGGUUAUUUUGUGUAGUCAUUACAUAUUAUUAUAUCAUUUCUAUUAUUCCUAUAAUUAUACUACUUAUUGACCGGUAGGUGUCUUGACUGUUCAUCAUCACUACUCCAUCGAGGUUAGUCUUGAUACUUACUGGGCACCGCCAUGGUAUGCUCAUGCUACUCUUCUGCACAUUUUUGUUGUGCAGAUAUAGGUACCCCCAUUCAGUUCUGUCAGCCUUAGAAGGAGGCAUAUCGGUAGAGACUUCGAGGUAUGUCUGCUACGUCCGUAGACCAAGGAGUCCUUUUCCAGCUAUCUGUAAUAAAUAUAAUUUCUUUUAGUAUUUCUCCUUGUAUAGACAUUCUUGAGUCAGAGCCUCUUAUGUAUCCUUUAGCUUGUGAGGUGUGAGAUUCCGGAUUAUUGGAUUUUUUGUUAGUUUCUAGAGUUGUUAUUGUAUGUGCCAGACGGCACCUUAAACUCUGAUCUAUUUGACUAGUUUCGUUUUAAUUAUGUCUUCCGCAUUUUUGUUUAUAUUCUGUAUUGUUAGGCUUACCUAGUUGUAGGGACUAGGUGCCGUCACGACAUGUUCAUGGAGGGCGAACUGGGGUCGUGACAGAUUAUUUAAUAUUUUUUUUGACGUAUUACAGAUUGUAUAUAUUAUAAAUUAGUAUAUUAUACAUAAUUUUAAAAUUUAAACAAAAUAUUACAACACAAAAACUUCAGCUCUAGAUUUGAAGAUUCCAAGUUACAACAAAAAAGAUUUAGCUCUAGGGCUGAAGUUCGCCAGUUACAAAACAAAAACUUCAGCUCUAGAGGUGAACUUGAGGCCCGGCUACUAGAAUGCUGAAGUUUUGCGUGAUUGCCUUUGCUACUUUAGCCCCGUGUGCUGAAGUUAUGUGAAAAAGCGGGUACGCUUGUAAUUUUAUUUUGCAAAGAGAACACAAGUUAAAAUGUGAUACAAAAAGCGGGUAUAAAUGCAAAUGCCCUAUUUACACAAACUGCUCCUUUUAAGGCCCCUUGUAAAUUUAGUCCUCUUUGUCGGUAGCUAGCCCAGCGAGCUAGAUUUGUCGCUGGAAGAAUGAUAUUUAAUUGGAACUUUUACAUUCCUAUGCCUCAUAGGAAACCUUAUUACUCUCAAUAUUUAAGGUUUGGCUUAAUUACACUUAGCAUACCAAAUUACCAAUUCUAUACCAUAGUGUAUUUAGAACAUUAAUUGCGUGCGUAGAAGUAUACUAGCAUUAUUUUAAACAUUGGCAUUGAAUUUAGCACAUUAGCAGCUGACUAUGUACCUCUCCUUUUUAAUAUUCAAAUCUUCCAACCGAUAAUAAAACUCUUCUUAAUGACCCCAUGUCAACUUCAUAUUACUAUAUUCCCCAAAAUGCAGAUUUUCCAAGUGCGAUCCUAGACACACACACAAAAACCCCACCCCACCCCUUACAACCACCCCUAUCAGAAACAUGUCUUUCAGUUUCUUUUCCAUUGCAGAUGUCCUAUUUCUAGUUCAUCUUCCCCAUCUUGUUCAAUUUUUACUUAUUUGAUAUCUUAACUAAAAAAAUACGAGGAAAUUGAGUCCUUUAUAUGGGUAAAAGAAGAGAUAUUAUGAUAAUAUUUCAUUGAAAAGAAGAAAGUGUAAUAAUGGAAGCAAAACCAGAAGAUUUGUAGAAGUUUUAAUCAUUUUUGAUUUGUGAAAACAGAAAACAAAGUAUCUACAAUUAGAAUACAAAUAAUCUACAAUUUAUCUAUAAAAUAUCUACAAAUUGGGUACAUUAAAUUUUUAUAUCCCAAUUCCCAUUCAAUUGUAGCAUAAUUGAGAUUUUUGACAUAAUUGCAUUUUUUCAGAAGAUUUGUAAAAGUUUUAGCUGUUUUUUAUUUGUGAAAAUAGAAAAUAAAGCAUCUACAAUCAGAUUAUAAAUAAUCUACAACUUAUCUAUAAAAGAUCUAUAAUUUCUGCAAUAUGUCAUCUUCUUCUUCUGUAGAGAGAGUUGUAGAGAGAAUGUCGAUGAUUAGAUGUGACGACCCAAAGGGUCAUCACUUGUUUUAUCUAUGUAGAGAGAGAUGUAGAGAGAAUGUCGAUGAAUAGAUGUGACGACCCAAAGGGUCAUCACUUAUUUUCUCAUUCGUUUCAUGCUUCCGAGGCCCUGAAAACUUUAUUUUUAGUUGCCUCGAUUUACGUGCGCAGUUCGGACGCGUAGCCGGAAAGCUUAUAUGUUAAAUUCUUUGAAAAUUUGCUAAAAUGUGGUAUUAAAAUUAGUAAAGUUGACUUUGGUUAAUAUUUUGGGCAAACGGACCCGGACCCGUGUACGGUCCCGAAGGGUCCGUAGGAAAAUAUGGGACUCGGGCGUAUGCCCGAAAUCGAAAUUCGAGGUUCCGAGCUCGAGAAAUGAAUUUUUAAGAGAAAUUAUUUUUUUGAAAUUAAUAUGAAAAUUUGAAAUGAAAAUGGAUUAAAAGGUGUUGGUAUCAGCCAGUAUUUUAGUUCCGGUGGCCCAGAUCUUAUAUGUGAUUUAAGACAUUUCUGUGAAAUUUGGUUGUAAUCGGAUGUCAUUCGACGUGUUUCGGACCUAAAUCUUAAAAAAUGGAAGUUUAAGAAGUUUGUUGAAAAAGUGUUGAUUUUGAGGGUUAAUUGAUUGAUUUUGAUGUUAUUUUGGUGAGUUGAUCGCACAGUUAAGUUCGUAGGUUAUUGUUGAUUUAGUGUGUAUAUUUGGUUAGGAGACCUAAGGGCUUGAGUAUAUAUUUGGAGGUGUACGGGGUAGUUUGAAUUUAGUAAAAAGUUGCAAAAAAAUAUGGUAUUUUUUCACAGGGAUUUUCUUCAUCGCGUUUGCAGAGCUCCAGAAUUUUCCUUCAAUGCGUUCGCGAGACUAUCCUCACGUUCGCAUAGUGUUAGUUGACCCUGGGGUCUCUUCGCGUUCGCAGUCAACCAUUCGCGAACGCAUAGCCUUGCAGCUCCCUUCAUCGCGUUCGUGUGACCAUCCACGCGUUCGCAUAGAACAAACUCCGACCCCCAGCUCUUUCCUUCUACGCAUUCACGUUUGCCUCCACGUGUUCGCGAUGACUUGCCCAGAAUACUCUUCGCGAAUGCGAUCCCCAUGUCGCGAACGCAUAGGGAAAAAUUGCCCAGUGAUUUUUUUUGUAAAAGUUUUAGAACAAUAGCUCGGGUUUUAUUCCAAAUUUCUCACGAAUUCUUUUCUUCCCCAAGGUUUAGGAGUCCAUUGAAGCCCCCAUCCUUCAAGACCACUUGGGUAAGUGAAUCCCCACUUAUUUCCUUCAUUUUUCUUCAUCAAUUAGUGAAUUUCUAAGCUUAAAUCUCAUAGAUUGUGGUGGAAAUGGGUUGAAUUAGGGCUUUUCAAUUUUCUUUGCUUUAGGCCUUGUUUUGGGGUCAAAUUUUGAAAAUCAAUUUUAUAUUCUCGCUCGUAGAGCAAUGGGUGAUUUGAAAUUGGUUCAGACCUCAUAUUUUGACCAAGCGUGCCUGCGGUCGAUUUUUAAAUUUUUUGGAAGAAAGGUUUGGAAUCUAUAUUUAGGCAUUGAGUUCGAUUUGUUUAGCUAUUAUUGAUAUUAUAAAGUCGUUAUUUCAUUGACUUGAUUGAGUUGGAACCGAAUACGAGAGCGAAUGCGGUUAUUGUGGAUUGAUUUAGCCGUGGAAGUUGAGGUAAAUAUUUGGUCUAACUUUGACUUGAGAGAAUAUGAGUAGAGUCUUUUUUGCUAAUAGCUAUUUGUCGAGUACGGUGUAUAGGCAAGGUGAUGAGUAUCUAUAAACCAGUGUCUAGCAUAACCGUGUGUCCUUAUAUUGUCAUUUACCCUGAAUUGUUGUAAUUCUUCCAUGAUUAUAUUGAUGAUUUAUAUGUGCUAUAAAAAGCAUGAGAAAGAGAUUAUAAUUACUAAACCCCGUGGAGCAUUGGCUUGAGUUGUGUUACGAAUUGAGAAUGUAUAUAAUAUGAAAUGACUCUUUGGAGAGAUGGCUCGAAUGAUAAAGUAAAUUAAAAGUGAGACGUGUAAGAAAGUGGAAGAAUUGAUGGUUAUUCCCUUGCCGGGACGUUUUAUUGGUUUUGUUGAUAUUUCUCCCUUGCCGGAAUUCAGUUGUGUUGUUAUAUUCCUUGCCAUGAUUUCUUUUACUAGUUGUUACCUUCUUACCCCUUAUUUGUGGUUGUGGUUUGGGUGAGGUUUUAUCGUAUAUAUAUAGAUCGGAUUGCACGCCGCAACAACACUAAAUGAAGUAGAUCUGGUUGUGUGCCGCAACAAUGCUAUAUAUAUAUAUAUAUGUGGAUUGGGUUGUACGCUGCAAUAAUAGUAAUUGUGGAUCGGGUUGUACGCUGCAAUAAUAGUAAUUGUGGAUCGGGUUGUACGCUGCAAUAGUAUUGUUAUGUGAUUGGAUCGGGUUACGCGCCGCAAUAAAUUAUAGAUUAAGGGUAUUUAUUCUGGAUUUAAGUUUCUAUUGGAUGUUCUAUCUUUAAAUUUGGACUUCUUGUUUAUAACUGUUGCCUCCCCCCAACAUGUUCCCCCUCCUUUUAUAAACUGCUUAUUUCCUGUUUAUUCUUUGCAAUAUAUACUUUAUAACUGCACAUGUUUUUAUCUGGUAGUCUGGUCUAGCCCCGUCACUACUUCGCCGAGGUUAGGCUAGGAACUUACCAUCACAUGGGGUCGGUUGUGAUGAUGCUACACUCUGUGCAUCUUUUUGCACAUAUCACAAUGCGGGGCAAUAGCAUUUGGAUAACAGUAGAGGAUUGGGAGCUGACCUUAAGUCCAGGUACAUCGAGGUUGCCUUGCUGACGUCCGCAGACCCGGAGUCCCUUCUAUCUUACUUUAGUUUGUUAUCUCUUGUACAGAAACAAACAGUUUUAUGUUUCAUUCAAACCUUGUAUUUACUAUUCUCUAGACGUUAGUGAGUGUUGUGAUAUUAAUCUUGGGUUGAGAAUUUUGUUAAACUUCCGUAUUUCUUUCAGUUAAUUAUAUUUGAGACUUACGCUUUAUUAUUACAUGUUUUGUUUUUUAUUAAAUUGUGGAUGUUUGCAAAAAAAAAAAGAAAGAGUAAAUAAUAACUGGCUUGCCUAGCUCUCAAUAGUAGGCGCCAUCACGACUCCUGAGGGUGGAAAAUCCGGAUCGUGAAAACAGAGCUUUUGC
rnacentral:lncRNA from 1 species